rnacentral:lncRNA from 1 species
GUCAGUUUUCGCUGUCAACUUAGUCCGAAAAAACCGGAGUUAUAUUUCAGAUGCUCUGGAGUACUAGCAUGAACUGGACACUGGUUGUGACUCAAAUCCUGAUCAGGAAUCAGAUUGGCUGCUGACUAUAAAUGUGAAACAAUCUUCACUCAAGAGGGCUGGAAGAAUGCUUGUUCUUAAUGCUGGAUAAAAAACUAACUUUAAGAUUAAGCUGGUCACAAGUAUGUAAUAAUUUAUUUUAUUUUACUGGACUUACUACGGAGUAGUCUUAGUUUAAAAUGAUUAUUAUCUUAGUUAUAAAUAAAUAAGAAAACAUGACACAAAACUAUUUAGUAUGAUCUAAAUAAGUUACAACAAUAAAAUGGAUGUUGAAAUAGUUGUAACUGAAAUUUUCCUUAAAUAAAAAGUUUCAAGGUUGACUACUUUCGCCAAGCAAAAGGCCCAUUAUAAAUAAGUAAUAAUAUUAAGAAAAGUAAUGGGAAAAAUUGUCUUAGACUGAUUUCAACGUGAAACCUAGUGUGCUAGAACACUAAUACCCUCAAUGAAAAACUAAAAACAAAAUAUUAAUAAUAUUUCACAUUAAACUUGUUAUUUGAACAUUAUUCCAUUAAAAUAAUUGUUUAAUAAAGUUAGACAGUAUUUUUUACUGAACUAACUGGAAGUUCAGUAAUCAGAACAAGUUUACUUUAAUCUAACGUUUUGGUUGAGAUGAAAAGGCAAGUGCCAUGAACGGGACUCAACUUCAUGGACCUUAGGCUGACAUGCCGCUGCUCUAACCACUCGAUCUGUCAUGACUUUGUAUUUUCCCUUCUUUUUGCCGUAUUUUCAA